rnacentral:lncRNA from 1 species
AUAUGGAGAAGGUUAAUAGGGCAGGCUAACAGAGGAGGAGCUGAGUUUGAGAGAGGAGGAGAAGAAUGCCGAAGACAUGGCAGCAGACAGAGGGAAGCAAAACAGAAAAGGCAGCCCCUUUUUGCCAUGUUAAAGUUAACUUAGUCCCCACAGAGAUUUUUGGGGAGGCCAAGGAGUGUGAGAUUUGUGAUUCAGUGUGUGGCUUUGUCACAUGCCUACCCAGGAUGAAGAUGAUAGAAAUCUUGGUGCUAUCUCACUUCAGGUUGGAUUGA